rnacentral:rRNA from 1 species
UGCGCGAGUCGCAGGGUUGUACGAAACCCGGAGGCGCAAUGAAAGUGAAGGCCGGCUUCGCGCCGGCUCAGGUGGGAUCCCGGGGCGAGAGAUCGCGACGGGCGCACCACCGGCUCGUCUCGGCCGCGGCGUCGGCGAGGCGAUGCAAGAGCGUACUUGUUGGGACCCGAAAGAUGGUGAACUAUGCCUGAGUAGGACGAAGCCAGGGGAAACUCUG